rnacentral:rRNA from 1 species
AGUGAACGCUGGCGGUAGGCCUAACACAUGCAAGUCGAACGGCAGCACAGUAAGAGCUUGCUCUUACGGGUGGCGAGUGGCGGACGGGUGAGGAAUACAUCGGAAUCUACUUUUUCGUGGGGGAUAACGUAGGGAAACUUACGCUAAUACCGCAUACGACCUACGGGUGAAAGCAGGGGAUCUUCGGACCUUGCGCGAUUGAAUGAGCCGAUGUCGGAUUAGCUAGUUGGCGGGGUAAAGGCCCACCAAGGCGACGAUCCGUAGCUGGUCUGAGAGGAUGAUCAGCCACACUGGAACUGAGACACGGCCCAGACUCCUACGGGAGGCAGCAGUGGGGAAUAUUGGACAAUGGGCGCAAGCCUGAUCCAGCCAUACCGCGUGGGUGAAGAAGGCCUUCGGGUUGUAAAGCUCUUUUGUUGGGAAAGAAAAGCAGCAGGUUAAUACCCCGCUGUUCUGACGGUACCCAAAGAAUAAGCACCGGCUAACUUCGUG